AUAAAAGUUUCAAUAGAAGGUUUUGAUGAUUUUUACUACUCCUUCCUAAUUUUUUUUUUUAAGUGAAUGGUUGUUUGGUGCCAUCAGCAGUGCUUAUCAAUAGAAAUAGGGUGUUUUUGCGGAGAAGUUUUUAAUAAAUGAGACCAUAAUCUCAGAAUUUUUCUGCCAUAUAUUAACCUGAACUUUGUCAUAAAUCCUUCCAGAAGAGUAUUUAACCUAUAUCUGCAUUGAUCAUAAUGGUGGUUCUUGAAAUCUGGUAAGCAAACCGAACUCAAACAAUACAAACACGUGGAGAAUUGUUCGGGAACCUCCUCAUUCACACAGGGAUUUUAAAAAUGUUCUUCAAAGUUUCUAAACGAAAAAUACUAGCCCCAAGUCAAAAUAAAACAUUUACACUAUCAUCUCACAGGUUAUGGCAUUUACUAGCCAGGCUCCGGUUGCCAACACUAGCAGGAGCUUUCUCUUAGUUCCGUGCUGGUUGAGAUAUUUUUAAUAACUCCACGAUUAGGAAAACUGAGAGGAAAAAAAAAAAAGAAUAACACAAAUAUGUUUGAUCUCCUUAGAUAAACAGGUUUUAUUUUGUGGCCUCAGUGGGCGUACGGGUGCCCCUCGGGCAGAUUGCCCUCAGUGGGGUUCAGGGCUCAAAAGAAAGGCAGAACUUUGCCCCUUCAGAGUCGGAAGGUGGAGGCGGCCACGGCAACUGUGAACUUGGCCGCCAAAUAGAUUUAGCGGUACCUGGGAAAGGGACUGGGGAGCUAGAACCGCAUUUUCCGGGGAGUUUCUUUCCUCGCCGCGAAGGAGACUGUAAUGAAGUGGGAAAGGGGAAAAAAAAAAGGCAAAAAAAAAAAAUCCUCCUCCUCUUCCAGUCACUGCACCUCAGUCUGAGAUUUGGGUGUUAUUUUACCUGUAUUUAUCAAAACCACCACCACCGCCCUCGCCCACCACCCACCAGCCUGUGUGCCCAUGCAAAGCAGCUGCCAACACUCCAGAAAGAGUGAAAGAGAGAGCAAAAGAGAGAAAAACAAACAAAUAAAUAAAUAAAAGAGAGAGAGAGAAAAGAGGGAGAGGGAGAGAGGGAGAGACUGAGACAGAGACAGCUGCAGGUUCAAUUAGCUAAACAAAGAAAUCAUGGCGGAUUGUUUACAUUUCGCAGACCCAAGGCAGAGUGGAUUUCGGAGUCCAAAGAUGCCGCGGUCCCCAAAGGAGUUUGCGGACCUGGCCCUCUCGCCCUGGCCUGGACAUUUGGAACUACUGCCUUGAAGAAAAUAUUCAACAGCCAGACUAAAAUACGACAUCUUAAGUGUGAGAUGCCUAGUUUCAGCCCAGCUGUGUUCUUUCCAUCAAUAUUUGUCAAAAGAAUAUGGAGCUGCUCUUAAAGAAAGAAAACAACUGAACAGUCCCAGAAAGACAGAAUCUCAUUCAUUGAUUAAGGGGAGAUUUGGAAUGUGCAAUUGAAUAUCAGAAAUAACCAACUUCUAUCUCAAGUGAAAGGGAAGAAAUGAUGUCUGUUCUUCAUCUAGGAAAGGAAAAUCUGGACAAAAAUAGGUGCUCUGGUAUUCAAAAAGAGAGAGAAAGCGAUUGAGAGAAAGAGAAAGGACUGCCUGGCCAGCGGCUCUGCAAUGCCUAAAGGACAAUCUCAGCUAUACUUCCGGUCCAGAGCCAUGUUGCAGAUUAAACCUCAUCAGAUUACUUUCAGAGGCUAAACGGCAGCCUAAGAAGAUCCAUUGGCGAAAGGAGCACUAUUGAAACCAGUUGAUUUAAGGAUUGGUGUCAGCCCCUUAUGGGAAGUUAAUACCCAUUGUGCUGUCUCCAAAAAAAUAACGUGCAUUAAGACAGCUCUAUCCAAAGGGCAGGCUCUGUGUCCCCAGGCCCUCCCAACCUUUGUACAUAUCUGUGCCCCACAGGCAUAUUAUAAUAUUGUAUGACAUGUUUACAAGUUCUAACAUCUUACUUUGUGCAACUGCAUAGCUUCCUUGCAGGGCUGGAGAACUUGAGGCUUUGAAUGUCUGGCAAAGAUGAGGGAAUUUGAUAACCUCCUCUCUUUGGGUCUUAGGGCGAGGUGAAUGCGUCUGGCCUGCCAAGGCACAAUUUAAUGGGCUUCUGAAAACACUCAAAAGGCAGACAUAAAUGUGUGGAUGGGCAGUCAGCCAGAGUGACCUGGGGGAUGGGGCCAGUCUGAUUUUAAGCAGGGUAAGGUCGUGAAGGAAUGUUUUAGGACAAAGCUGGCUGGGGGGAGUUGGGGGAGUGCUCUGAAAGCCUAAUGUUUGACUGUAAAGGAUUUACAGAGCUCUGUAACUUAAGAGCUAAAGCAUUCCCACCUGUCCAACUCUAAAAGGAAAAUGGAAAAUGGAAAGAACAUAUAAUUAAUUUCAAUUACAAGCCUCACAUAUCUCUGCUCAGAUAGGCACUAUCUGCAUUUCCUGUCACUUUGGUGAGACCCAAUACAAAAGUCACAUUAAAUUUUUUUUCUAAAGUAACACCA